CCUACGGGAGGCAGCAGUGAGGAAUAUUGGUCAAUGGGCGCGAGCCUGAACCAGCCAAGUAGCGUGAAGGAUGACUGCCCUACGGGUUGUAAACUUCUUUUAUAAAGGAAUAAAGUGAGGCACGUGUGCCUUUUUGUAUGUACUUUAUGAAUCAGGAUCGGCUAACUCCGUGCCAGCAGCCGCGGUAAUACGGAGGAUCCGAGCGUUAUCCGGAUUUAUUGGGUUUAAAGGGUGCGUAGGCGGCCUUUUAAGUCAGCGGUGAAAGUCUGUGGCUCAACCAUAGAAUUGCCGUUGAAACUGGGGGGCUUGAGUAUGUUUGAGGCAGGCGGAAUGCGUGGUGUAGCGGUGAAAUGCUUAGAUAUCACGCAGAACCCCGAUUGCGAAGGCAGCCUGCCAAGUCAUGACUGACGCUGAUGCACGAAAGCGUGGGGAUCAAACAGGAUUAGAUACCCCUGUAGUC
rnacentral:rRNA from 1 species